rnacentral:rRNA from 1 species
UUUCAUGAGAGUUUGAUCCUGGCUCAGGAUUAACGCUGGCGGCGUGCAUAACACAUGCAAGUCGAACGAUGAAACUUUACUGACUUCUUCGGAAAGAUUUAAAGCGGAUUAGUGGCGGACGGGUGAGUAACGCGUGAGUAACCUGCCUUACACAAGGGGAUAGCCGUUGGAAACGACGAAUAAUACCCUAUGAAACUAUCACUU